rnacentral:lncRNA from 1 species
CUGAAAUUUCCUUGCAAUGAGAAAAUGAAACCAACCGAUAUAUAUACGCAUAUAAAAGUAAACUGAAACACAUACAGAAUGACGAGAGCAUCUGGAGAGGGUGGUAUAAGUAGAUGGUGAUGGAAGCAAAGAAGGUACAGUUGAAAUGAAGGAAAGUAGCACCAUUUCUUCUCUCUGCCUGUGUGGAGGUCGACAGGAAGCAGAAAGAUUAUAAACGGACUCAAUUAGAACGUGUAUGGUCUGUGUGGAGUGCUU